rnacentral:rRNA from 1 species
UACGAGGGGUGCAAGCGUUGCUCGGAAUUAUUGGGCGUAAAGGGUGGGUAGGUUGUCUCGUUUGUCUGAGGUGAAAUCCCCGAGCUUAACUUGGGAAGUGCCUUAGAAACGGCGAGACUAGAGUUCUUGAGAGGGUAGCGGAAUUCCCGGUGUAGCGGUGAAAUGCGUAGAGAUCGGGAGGAACAUCAGAGGCGAAGGCGGCUACCUGGAAAGACACUGACACUAAACCACGAAAGCGUGGGGAGCAAACAGG